UACGGAGGGUGCAAGCGUUGUCCGGAUUUAUUGGGUUUAAAGGGUGCGUAGGCGGUCUUUUAAGUCAGCGGUGAAAUCCUCCAGCUUAACUGGAGAACUGCCAUUGAUACUGGAAGACUUGAGUACAGACGAGGUAGGCGGAAUUGACAGUGUAGCGGUGAAAUGCAUAGAUAUUGUCAAGAACACCGAUUGCGAAGGCAGCUUACUAGACUGUAAACUGACGCUGAGGCACGAAAAGUGUGGGGAUCAAACAGG
rnacentral:rRNA from 1 species